CAGGUGAGGGGCGGCGCCCUUGUCGCGACCUCCGACCCACCUCGCCGCCGGCCCUCCCCCUCCUCUUCUCCCACCUUGCAUGUCUGCACCUCGCCGCGCCCUGCAUCUGAGUCCCCGUUGUGUACGAGUAGAAGGCGGCGAGCCGGCAACACCCGUAGUGCUGGGGUGGCGAUGCCGCCGCGGCGCUAGAUGCGGGAGGCCCGUGAGCUGCGGCGCCAGUGCGGCCGCUCCAGGUGGCCGACCUUGUGGCCGUGGAGAUGCACGUUGGGCUCGCCUCUGAGGGCGCGGGAGCAGCUCGGUGUGCUAUGCCACCCGCACGGCUACUACAGGUGGCCGACAUCGUGUCCGUGGAGAUGCACGCAGGGCUCGCCUCCGAGUGCGCGGGAGCAAGGUCCAAUCCUUCCCCGUUCAGAUCUGGAAGUCCGGCCUUAGCCCGGGUAGCUCUCGUGGAAGGGAUACACCACGAGCCCUGAUUUGAUCUGGCGAUAGCGGCAUCACAAAAUUCAUGUAGCUCUGGCAGUGGCAUGACCAUAACCACAGUCCGGAGGAUUAGCUACUUCUACUUGCUGUCUACUGAUUCCUCUCCCAAGUAUUAGCAGAGGUAGUCGCUCCGGACGAUCAGGAGAAAGGAGCUGAGGUCCACACACAUAAUGACAUUGCUCUUUAUAUAUAUAAAAAGAGUGACAUUUCUGAAUCUUUUUAUGUGAUAAUUAGAUUACAAACUAGAGGUGGGGCUACCGAGGUUGGGAGGAGGACUGGUGAAACUCAACUGUAACGUUUGCGCGGAUGAGCAGCAUGAUUUAGAUAGCCAAGAUGGGGGAGGUUCUUAAGAGUCGAGGAUGACGAUUAGAGGUACUCUAUGGAGUAUGAGAAGGAUGGGGAGAUGGAGAGAGUCCUCAAGAAGACUGCGCUGAUUGGGAAGUUAGAGGGUGUUUCUAUUUUUUCUGCCUUCUAGCAUAAACAGAGAUUCGGAAGGCCCAACACUCUCUCCUUCCUGUUGCUUGAGGUUAGGUUUCCAUGGCGCUUGACCAAGACGAAGAGCUGUGCUGGGACAGCAAUGUAGUCAGUUCAUGGUCAUAGGUCUGCGAUCACUAUAAUUUAGAAUAAGUCUCUCCAAUUUAUUAAUUUGAGUUCAAUAUAUCAGGUUAGCUUUAUCCCAUGGUGAGUUCAUAUAUAAACUGAAGGUUGGAAAUUCACAACACAUCAGCGAGCUACCGAAUGUCGCUCUAAAUUUCUACAUGACACCGAACUUCAAACAGAACGACUCCAUGGUUGAUGAUGUGCUCUUAGAUUAUUAGUUUCUUGGAAACGGUGAUAUGCUCUGCGUCCAUUAGAUUAAGGUUAGAAGGUGUAUCAAUCCAUUUAGACACAGUUUCUAUUUCUUAGCCUCUAUGUGUUUGUAAUAUUAUUGUUUUGGAAAAGGAUCAUUUUAUUAAGGCAACAAGCCAACACCAAAUAAGAAAACCUGGCCGCUACAUGUUACUACUCUAAACUGAAAAGGUUAUAAAUCGAGCGACUUGACCGGAGCUCUAUCUUAAAGAUUUGAUCAUAAUAGAGUUUGGCAGGUUCCCCCGCAAAGAAAAAAAAACAGAGUUUGGCAGGUUAGGUGAGACACGUCAUUAGAUUUGUUAUGAGCAUUGUGAUAUCCUAGGUUAGACAGGUAAGCAAAUUAAUCAAAAUUUUCAUUUAACAUGAAGUAGAAACAGAUACAUGUAAUUGUCAAUAUCAGCGUGCCGGUGAAGAAACUCAGUCAUUGCCAAAGUACUAUUCUCUCAUGCUAAAGCUUAAAAAACUGCAUGCACAAUUUGUUUGUUUCAGCACAAGAAGUUCAAACUUAAUAUACCUAUCGCAUCUCAUGGUGUAUGAUUAACUUGCUCUUUGUUGUUUCUAUUGCCAAAAUUUAUUAUUCAUGGUUGGUUAUUGCCGUUUUAAUACAAUCAUCCUUUUCAAAUAUAUUUGGAUUAUAUUAGGAAACUGCAGCUAUGUGUUUGUGAGUUAGAGCUCCUAACAGACUGCUUUUGCUUCCUUACUUGCUUCCAUUUUAACUUUAGAUCGUUAUUAAGAUGGACCUCCGAGCCAUAGAGUCCAUAAGGAAGUGUUGAAAUACUUGCAGAUCAUGCAAGUUAAGAGUGGCUUUAAUUCUUUUGAGUGGACAUAAAGAAGUAUGUUUUUUUCUUCUCCCGUUGCAACGCACGGGCAUUUGUGCUAGUCAAAAGGAAAAAAGAAAAAAAGAGAGCUAGCCGUCUCGUCUGACCGUAAAAGCGUAGAGAGACCGCGCAUGGCACAUUCCUGUUCCUGCCCAUGGUGCGGCAUAGCUGAAGAGUGAGGACUGGUGGUGGAGGCGGCGCCGGGCGAGGGAAAAAGGCGAUAAAGGCAAGCCGCGUCUGAAGGCUCCGGCGGGGGCGCCUACCCCGCAUACACUUGGAAGUUGGAGAGGAUUUGGCCGCUGCAUCUGCUGCUGCAUACAGCUCCGCGAUCCCCACUCACGCAGCAGGCUAGCUCAGGGAGUUCAGAUCCAUAUACAUACAAGAGGCCAUUAGCAGGAGGAAGCCUACUAGAUCUACUGCUAUCCAGCUCUGGUUGUGCAGGGUUGGGAGACUCACCUAGCUUGUCAUCGACUUCGGAGGCUAGGCAGAGAGGAGAGGAGAGGGGAGGAGCCGGUAUCAGAGGAGUUGGAGGGCGCUGCUUCCUGCUUGAGGUUUCAGAAGGUCCAAGCCAACUGAUAUGCCAUGACUGCAGAAAAGCGUAUACCGUUACAUGACUUGCGUGAGAUUACAAAUGGAUUCUCAGUGGACUCAAGAAUAGGACAGGGUGGAUAUGGAGAUGUUUACAAGGUACGGCUUAUUACUUGACAUUUUGUGUUUCAAAUUGUACCAGCACUAACAACAAACGACAAACUUAUAAACAAAUAACUGUGUACGAUGCUUAUGCCAAGCACAGGGGGUUUACACUACAGGAAACAGCUAGUUUGCCGUCAGUAGGCAUCUUUGCCGUCAGCUUUUCGUCGGGCCAGACGGCAAAGAGCACAUUUGCCGUCAGCUGCUGACGGCAAAGAAUGACUAACGGCAAAAAUGUACUUUGCCGUCUGCGUUUUUUAUUGCAAACGGCAAAGAGUCUUUGCCGUCUGUCUUUUUGUUUUACAGACGGCAAAAUAUAUAUUUUGCCGUCUGUAAUAAAAAAUACAGACGGCAAAGACUUUGCCGUCUGUAUUUUUUAUUACAGACAGCAAAGUAUGCCGUUUGCCGUCUGUAAGAAUCUUUGCCGUCUCUUUUUUUAUUGGCAGACGGCAAACUGGACCCUUUGCCGUCUGUGUUUUUUUACAGACGGCAAAGAAGAAGCACAGCACACGGAUUGAUCUCCCGGAUCGAUGACAUGGCAAUAUCUCAGCCGCACCAGCCCAUAACGCACGGACCCAUCCCACCCCUCCUGUCGGACGCACUUAUCCACCCAUGAUGCACGCACCCCCGCACAUCGCACACGCCCUGUC